rnacentral:rRNA from 1 species
CAGCAGCCGCGGUAAUACGAAGGGGGCUAGCGUUGUUCGGAAUUACUGGGCGUAAAGCGCACGUAGGCGGACAUUUAAGUCAGGGGUGAAAUCCCGGGGCUCAACCCCGGAACUGCCUUUGAUACUGGGUGUCUUGAGUGUGGAAGAGGUAAGUGGAAUUGCGAGUGUAGAGGUGAAAUUCGUAGAUAUUCGCAGGAACACCAGUGGCGAAGGCGGCUUACUGGUCCACAACUGACGCUGAGGUGCGAAAGCGUGGGGAGCAAACAGGAUUAGAUACCCCUGUAGUCCCUGUCUCUUAUAC